AUUUGUGUCCCCCAUUAGAAUGUAAGCUCCAAAAGUCAGGAAUUUUGUCAAUGUUAUUAUUUUGUACACUGAUAUAACUGAACAUCUACAAUAGUGCCCAACUCAGUUGAUGCUCAGUAAAUACUUGUUGAGUGAAUGAAGACAAGAGAGAAUAGUUCCAGAGCAGAGGUCUAGAGCUUGGCUUUAGAGAGAGAAGGAGCACCUCUUAUUGGUAAUAGGGAGGAAGGAGGAAUAGAUGAGAGCAGAUCUAAGUAGCUUUUUGAUUUGGUAUUGGGAGAUUGAGAGAGUUUCUUUUCAAUAGAAUGUGUGAUUGUUAGUUUUAUGUAUCAACUUGGCUAGGCUACAGUACCCAGUAAUUUAAUCAGAUGCUAAACAGGAGUUGCUCUGAAGGUAUUUUAUAGAUGUAGUUAACAUCUACAAUUAGUUGACUUUAAGUAACAGAAAUGGCCCUCAAUAAUGUUAGUAGGCUUCAUCCAAUCAGUUGAAGGCCUUAAGAGCACAAACUGAGAUUUCCCAGAGAAGAAAUUCUGCCUCAAGACUGCACGAUAACCCUGCCUGAGUCUCCAGCAUGCCGACCUACCCCAUGGAUUUUGGACUCGUCAGCCCCCACAAUUGUGUGAAGUUAUCAUUGGAGAAUAAAGCAGAACAAAAUGGAAGAUGAGAGAGUGCAGAAGGUUUGAAAUAGUCUUUGCACAGAAUGGAAGAAUGAACUAACGAAAAAAACAGAAUGAGGUUUUUAGGCAUGUUUAGGGCUCAGUAGAGGUUACUGAAUAAUUCCCUUCUGUCCUUGUCUGUCUAGAAAACCGUUGUGUUAAGGCCGUAAACUUUAAGGCCUCCUGUGACCUGUGACUCCUUUGCUCUUUCCAGAAAGGGUUGCCCCUGCCCUUAUUUGUUUCCUCACUGAACCCUGUUGUGUCUUGUUCACCAUUAUGUCACCAGCACUUGGUAGAGUGCCAUGAACAA